UAAAACAGAUGGCUCUCCAACUGAUGAUGUCAUCACCUUUGGAGAUAAAGGGUCCAAGAAAUACAACCUCACUUUCUCAAUCAGAGAACUUUGAGGAUUAUGAAGUUUCCUUCAAAUUAUGUCCGUUACUCAACCUCGAGUGGCAA